rnacentral:rRNA from 1 species
ACACGGAGGGUGCAAACGUUGUUCGGAAUCACUGGGCGUAAAGGGCGCGCAGGCGGUUUGAUUAGUCAGAUGUGAAAGCCCACGGCUUAACCGUGGAAGUGCAUUUGAAACUGUCAGACUUGAGUACCAGAGGGGGUAGUGGAAUUCCCGGUGUAGAGGUGAAAUUCGUAGAUAUCGGGAGGAAUACCGGUGGCGAAGGCGACUACCUGGCUGGAUACUGACGCUGAGGCGCGAAAGCGUGGGGAGCAAACAGGAUUAGAAACCCUUGUAGUCC